rnacentral:rRNA from 1 species
UACGUAGGUGGCAAGCGUUGUCCGGAUUUACUGGGCGUAAAGGGAGCGUAGGUGGAUAUUUAAGUGGGAUGUGAAAUACCUGAGCUUAACUUGGGUGCUGCAUUCCAAACUGGAUAUCUAGAGUGCAGGAGAGGAAAGUGGAAUUCCUAGUGUAGCGGUGAAAUGCGUAGAGAUUAGGAAGAACCCCAGUGGCGAAGGCGACUUUCUGGACUGUAACUGACACUGAGGCGCGAAAGCGUGGGGAGCAAACAGG